rnacentral:lncRNA from 1 species
GCAUUGGGGUUGCGCUGGGGUGGGUGUCCAGCGCUGUAGGAGGAACGCGGUGGGAGGAAGGCUUGCGGGCGUGCGGACUCGGCUUCGGGCCGAGCGCUUUGAAGAAUUUUGCAGAACCCUGCUACCUACAGACUCUGCCAUGGAUGUCAUGUAAAGAAACCCCGGAUGUAGUAACGGACAAAACAUGAGUCAGUUUGUGUUGUGGCAUUCAGAUCUGAACACACUGGGAGAGAAGUGAUUCUGAAUGGAGAAGACGUAGGACCGGUCAGUGGUAGGAUGGACUGUGCUUGGAAGACAGGCACCUGGAGCUCUCAGUUUGGACUAGGCUGGCUGGCAGUAAGCCCCCAGGAUCCUCCUGUUCUCACACUAGGUACUAACUAGGGUUACAAAUUUGAUAUCACAUGAUGUCACAUGAAAUCAGGCCUUGAUGCACAUAGCAAGCACUUUACCAAUUGAGCCGUCUUUCCAGACUCAACAGUUUUGUUUGUUUUUAAAGAUCUAUGCACUAUUAUGUGGGUACAUCUGCACACCAGAAGACAGCAUCAGACAGCUGUGAGCUGCCGUGUGGGUGUUGGGAAUUGAACUCAGGACCUUUGGAAAAGCAGUGAGCGUUCUUAACCAUUGAGCCAUCUCUCCAGCUCCCAAUGAAAGUUUUUUUUAAAGCUUGCACUUUUCUUGGGAACAAAACAAGCAGACAAAGUAAAAUAAUUAAAAGGUAGUUACAAUGAAAUCAGUAUAUCAUUGAACUAAAAAACCUUUUUCAGAGAAUGGCGAGGUGGCUCAGUGGCUAAGCAGUACUUACUGCACACAUCUGAGGUCCAGAGUCUGGAGCCCAGCACCUGUGUAACAAGCCCUCUACAAACUUUUAGACUUGCUAGUAGAUUUUCUGUUCUGUCUUUAAGAGGCAUCAAACACCAAGAUUGUGAAGACCAUGGCCCAUCCUUAUGCAUUCAAGAGUUGAGUGUGGAUGACUUGGAGCUGAAAAACCCCUUCAGAAGCUUCAUGUGUCACGUGCAUUGAAGCUCUGCAUUAAACCCGCUCGCACAAGCACUCACAGUUAAGAGAUUACCUCAAAUCUGAAAUAAGGCUUUGGACUUGUGAACAGUAUUGGAAUUGUUGAAGAAUAUGGGGACUUUUGAAGUUGUCCUGGACAUAUGUUUGCAUUAUAAGAUGACAAUGAAGGCUGCCAGGAAAACUCAGAAAGUAUUGUAUUACCUUUUGACUUGAGUUCAAUCCCCAAAGCCAAAGUGUGGAAGGAGAGAGCUGAUUCCUGCAACUUCUUCUGACUUCUAUAGCACUCACAUAUAUCGGGCACAUGCAUGAGUAUGCACACACACACACACACACACACACAGAUCGAAAAUAGUUGUAAUAAAAAAAAUUAAACAGAUGGUCAUGAAAUUCUGGAAAGAUGGGU